rnacentral:rRNA from 1 species
CCUACGGGGGGCACCAGUGGGGAAUAUUGCACAAUGGGCGCAAGCCUGAUCCAGCCAUGCCGCGUGUAUGAAGAAGGCCUUCGGGUUGUAAAGUACUUUCAGCGGGGAGGAAGGUGUUGUGGUUAAUAACCGCAGCAAUUGACGUUACCCGCAGAAGAAGCACCGGCUAACUCCGUGCCAGCAGCCGCGGUAAUACGGAGGGUGCAAGCGUUAAUCGGAAUUACUGGGCGUAAAGCGCACGCAGGCGGUCUGUCAAGUCGGAUGUGAAAUCCCCGGGCUCAACCUGGGAACUGCAUUCGAAACUGGCAGGCUAGAGUCUUGUAGAGGGGGGUAGAAUUCCAGGUGUAGCGGUGAAAUGCGUAGAGAUCUGGAGGAAUACCGGUGGCGUAGGCGGCCCCCUGGACAAAGUCUGACGCUCAGGUGCGAAAGCGUGGGGAGCAAACAGGAUUAGAUACCCGUGUAGUC